GACGAACGCUGGCGGCGUGCCUAAUACAUGCAAGUCGAACGAGAGCACCCGGUGCUUGCACUGGUCAAUCUAGUGGCGAACGGGUGAGUAACACGUGGGUAACCUGCCCAUCAGAGGGGGAUAACAUCCGGAAACGGAUGCUAAAACCGCAUAGGUCUUCGAACCGCAUGGUUUGAAGAGGAAAAGAGGCGCAAGCUUCUGCUGAUGGAUGGACCCGCGGUGCAUUAGCUAGUUGGUGAGGUAACGGCUCACCAAGGCCGUGAUGCAUAGCCGACCUGAGGGGGUGAUCGGCCACAUUGGGACUGAGACACGGCCCAAACUCCUACGGGAGGCAGCAGUAGGGAAUCUUCCGCAAUGGACGCAAGUCUGACGGAGCAACGCCGCGUGAGUGAAGAAGGUUUUCGGAUCGUAAAACUCUGUUGUUAGAGAAGAACAAGUGCUAGAGUAACUGUUAGCGCCUUGACGGUAUCUAACCAGAAAGCCACGGCUAACUACGUG
rnacentral:rRNA from 1 species